GGAUAGAGGCCUACCAUGGUUUUAACGGGUAACGGGGAAUUAGGGUUCGAUUCCGGAGAGGGAGCCUGAGAAACGGCUACCACAUCCAAGGAAGGCAGCAGGCGCGCAAAUUACCCAAUCCCGACACGGGGAGGUAGUGACAAUAAAUAACAAUACGGGGCUCAUUUGGGUCUCGUAAUUGGAAUGAGUACAAUUUAAAUCCCUUAACGAGGAACAAUUGGAGGGCAAGUCUGGUGCCAGCAGCCGCGGUAAUUCCAGCUCCAAUAGCGUAUAUUAAAGUUGUUGCAGUUAAAAAGCUCGUAGUUGAACUUCGGAAUUUAUUCAUUGGUCAGGCUUAACUGUCUGUACUGGUGUUAUGAAUUCCUACCUUCUGAGGAAUUAUCAUGCCAUUCAGUUGGUGUGGUAGGGAAUCAGGACUGUUACUUUGAAAAAAUUAGAGUGUUUAAAGCAGGCUAACGUCUGAAUACAUUAGCAUGGAAUAAUAGAAUAGGACGGAUUGGUUCUAUUUUGUUGGUUUCUAGGAUCACCGUAAUGAUUAAUAGGGAUAGUUGGGGGCAUUAGUAUUCAAUUGUCAGAGGUGAAAUUCUUGGAUUUAUUGAAGACUAACUACUGCGAAAGCAUUUGCCAAGGAUGUUUUCAUUAAUCAAGAACGAAAGUUAGGGGAUCGAAGACGAUCAGAUAUCGUCGUAGUCUUAACCAUAAACUAUGCCGACUAGGGAUCGGACGAAGUUAAUUUUUAAAUGACUCGUUCGGCACCUUACGGGAA
rnacentral:rRNA from 1 species